UGAGGUUAAGUGACUAAGCGUACACGGUGGAUGCCUAGGCAGUCAGAGGCGAUGAAGGGCGUGCUAAUCUGCGAAAAGCGUCGGUAAGGUGAUAUGAACCGUUACAACCGGCGAUACCCGAAUGGGGAAACCCAGUGUGUUUCGACACACUAUCAUGUCAUGAAUACAUAGUGGCAUGAGGCGAACCGGGGGAACUGAAACAUCUAAGUACCCCGAGGAAAAGAAAUCAACCGAGAUUCCCCCAGUAGCGGCGAGCGAACGGGGAGGAGCCCAGAACCUGAAUCGGCUUGUGUGUUAGUGGAAGCGUCUGGAAAGUCGCGCAGCAAAGGGUGAUAGCCCCGUACACUAAAAUGCACAGGUCGUGAGUUCGAUGAGUAGGGCGGGACACGUGACAUCCUGUCUGAAUAUGGGGGGACCAUCCUCCAAGGCUAAAUACUCCUGACUGACCGAUAGUGAACCAGUACCGUGAGGGAAAGGCGAAAAGAACCCCGGCGAGGGGAGUGAAAUAGAACCUGAAACCGUGUACGUACAAGCAGUGGGAGCACCUUCGUGGUGUGACUGCGUACCUUUUGUAUAAUGGGUCAGCGACUUAUAUUUUGUAGCAAGGUUAACCGUAUAGGGGAGCCGUAGGGAAACCGAGUCUUAACUGGGCGAAUAGUUGCAAGGUAUAGACCCGAAACCCGGUGAUCUAGCCAUGGGCAGGUUGAAGGUUGGGUAACACUAACUGGAGGACCGAACCGACUAAUGUUGAAAAAUUAGCGGAUGACUUGUGGCUGGGGGUGAAAGGCCAAUCAAACCGGGAGAUAGCUGGUUCUCCCCGAAAGCUAUUUAGGUAGCGCCUCGUGAACUCAUCUUCGGGGGUAGAGCACUGUUUCGGCUAGGGGGCCAUCCCGGCUUACCAAACCGAUGCAAACUCCGAAUACCGAAGAAUGUUAUCACGGGAGACACACGGCGGGUGCUAACGUCCGUCGUGAAGAGGGAAACAACCCAGACCGCCAGCUAAGGUCCCAAAGUCAUGGUUAAGUGGGAAACGAUGUGGGAAGGCAUAGACAGCCAGGAUGUUGGCUUAGAAGCAGCCAUCAUUUAAAGAAAGCGUAAUAGCUCACUGGUCGAGUCGGCCUGCGCGGAAGAUGUAACGGGGCUAAACCAUGCACCGAAGCUGCGGCAGCGACGCUUAGGCGUUGUUGGGUAGGGGAGCGUUCUGUAAGCCGUUGAAGGUGGCCUGUGAGGGUUGCUGGAGGUAUCAGAAGUGCGAAUGCUGACAUAAGUAACGAUAAAGCGGGUGAAAAGCCCGCUCGCCGGAAGACCAAGGGUUCCUGUCCAACGUUAAUCGGGGCAGGGUGAGUCGACCCCUAAGGCGAGGCUGAAAAGCGUAGUCGAUGGGAAACAGGUUAAUAUUCCUGUACUUGGUGUUACUGCGAAGGGGGGACGGAGAAGGCUAGGCUAGCCGGGCGACGGUUGUCCCGGUUUAAGCGUGUAGGGGGUGUGACCUGGUAAAUCCGGUUACAUACUAACCCUGAGGCGUGAUGACGAUGCACUACGGUGCAGAAGUAGUUGAUGCCCUGCUUCCAGGAAAAGCCUCUAAGCUCUAGGUAACAUUAAAUCGUACCCCAAACCGACACAGGUGGUCAGGUAGAGAAUACCAAGGCGCUUGAGAGAACUCGGGUGAAGGAACUAGGCAAAAUGGUGCCGUAACUUCGGGAGAAGGCACGCUGGCAUGUAGGUGAAGUCCUUCGCGGAUGGAGCUGAAGCCAGUCGAAGAUACCAGCUGGCUGCAACUGUUUAAUAAAAACACAGCACUGUGCAAACACGAAAGUGGACGUAUACGGUGUGACGCCUGCCCGGUGCUGGAAGGUUAAUUGAUGGGGUCAGCCGCAAGGCGAAGCUCUUGAUCGAAGCCCCAGUAAACGGCGGCCGUAACUAUAACGGUCCUAAGGUAGCGAAAUUCCUUGUCGGGUAAGUUCCGACCUGCACGAAUGGCGUAAUGAUGGCCAGGCUGUCUCCACCCGAGACUCAGUGAAAUUGAACUCGCUGUGAAGAUGCAGUGUACCCGCGGCAAGACGGAAAGACCCCGUGAACCUUUACUAUAGCUUGACACUGAACAUUGAGCCUUGAUGUGUAGGAUAGGUGGGAGGCUUUGAAGCGUGGACGCCAGUCUGCGUGGAGCCAUCCUUGAAAUACCACCCUUUAAUGUUUGAUGUUCUAACUCGGCCCCAUAAUCUGGGGUGAGGACAGUGUCUGGUGGGUAGUUUGACUGGGGCGGUCUCCUCCCAAAGAGUAACGGAGGAGCACGAAGGUUAGCUAAUCACGGUCGGACAUCGUGAGGUUAGUGCAAAGGCAUAAGCUAGCUUGACUGCGAGAGUGACGGCUCGAGCAGGUACGAAAGUAGGUCUUAGUGAUCCGGUGGUUCUGAAUGGAAGGGCCAUCGCUCAACGGAUAAAAGGUACUCCGGGGAUAACAGGCUGAUACCGCCCAAGAGUUCAUAUCGACGGCGGUGUUUGGCACCUCGAUGUCGGCUCAUCACAUCCUGGGGCUGAAGUAGGUCCCAAGGGUAUGGCUGUUCGCCAUUUAAAGUGGUACGCGAGCUGGGUUUAGAACGUCGUGAGACAGUUCGGUCCCUAUCUGCCGUGGGCGUUGGAAGAUUGAGAGGGGUUGCUCCUAGUACGAGAGGACCGGAGUGAACGCACCACUGGUGUUCGGGUUGUCAUGCCAAUGGCAUUGCCCGGUAGCUAAGUGCGGAAAAGAUAAGCGCUGAAAGCAUCUAAGCGCGAAACUUGCCUCAAGAUGAGUCUUCCCUGGGCCUUUAAGGCCCCUGAAGGAACGUUUAAGACUAAGACGUUGAUAGGCUGGGUGUGUAAGUGCAGCGAUGCAUUGAGCUAACCAGUACUAAUGAUCCGUGAGGCUUAACCUU
rnacentral:rRNA from 1 species